rnacentral:sRNA from 1 species
CGGUGGCGACCUCCGCCGAGCGGCGGCGCGCGAACGAGAAGCGGCCUGCUGCUGCCGCUAGCCAACUACGCUACGAGAGGCCUCCGCGUGAAUCCCCGCCCCUGCCUACCUCCGCGACAUGCCGACGAGGCAGGUGGUGGUGGAGGGCUUGGCAGGCGAGACGGGACCCCCACGCUGUACCGGCGACGGAAGAGGCGGAGAGGGGGCUGGCCAUCCGGCGAGGCUUGGGCGCAGGGGGAAUGGGGGAUGAGCAGUUUGGACCCCCUUCGCGGUCCCAGCCGGCCACCGUCUCGCCGGCCAGGUUGACGGCGCUGGCUCUUGUUCGUCGAGAUCAGCCAUCUCAUAACCUGGAAGACAGGAACACCGAGGACCAGGAGAAUACUCACAUAUGCUAUUUCUCCCACAUAGUCCAUGAACGUCACAGUGCUGCGGCAUGGCCUCCCAUGUGACUAUCCAGCUUUUUUCCACUUUAUUUAAGCUGUACAACUUGAGAUUGCCAUCUUGAUCAAUUGUGAGCCUUCUGUUUAUUCCAAGACCUGAGUCAGAAGCAAUGAUGUUUAGGCCAUCACUUGACGUGAAAUGACCAGUAUUGUCGAGGACUCCAAUCCUGGAGCUGUUGUAGUUAGUUCGUCCAAAAUCAAAAAUUGACUCAGAUGGGUUUGGCCAAUAGGGACUUGAAAUCUCUGGUCCAUUAUAUAUGAGCCGGAGGACAUUAUCAGUGUCAUAGUAGAGGCUAUAGUAACCAGACACCAACCUUUUGUCCUUGGUAAGGAGCUGCAAAGGUAGCAAGGUAUCAGUGGGUGAAUCAAAGCUUUGCCACACAACACUACCCUUGGAAUCAGUGAUGACAAGAUUGCCUGUAUCAAGUAGAGCAACUCGAGAAUCCUGUCCUAGCAUUGUCUUGCUAUCCCACACAACGAAGCCCUUCUCAUCGCUGAGGACUAAGCUACCCUCCUGAGUAAAGGAUAGCUUGGAGCCAUGACCAUUCACUGGUGAUUCUGAGUUUGCUGCCCAAACAACGGUUUUUUCGACUGUAUUGGUGAACCAGAUGGAGAGGGAGAAGGCGUUGUCACCUGUUUCGUAGAAACCAAAGGAGAAAGUAUUGCUGGGUGAGAUGAGAAAUGGUUUCUCAUAUUCUUCUACCGAUAAGAAUGAGCCGGUACCCAGUGUAUGCUCUGGUGAUGCAGAAGAGAAUGCCAGAAUCUGUAGUGACGAAAAGAGGAUGAGGCAGGGAAUUGUUUCCAUUACAUCAGGUGCAUAAGUGUAUGAGAUAUAUGAUUGGCUUCAGAGAUGGAAGAAGGAAGGGAAUGAUGCAUUUGUUCUGUAUUUAUGUAGCACUAGAAGAGCGCUAUUCUAAUCUGGGGUCAAGGAUCAUUUAAGUCUUCCUCCACAAGCAUUUUUGCUUCUGAAGACUGGUAAAUGGCCAAAAGUUUAUCCAUUUGUUUCUUACUGAUCAUUUGAUAAUUUUCUUUAUCCUUUUUUUCAAUGAGAACGGUCCUUGUUUUGAUUGUGUGGACUGUGGUGUGGAACGAGCUUUGUCUAGGACUAAAUACUAGCGAAAAUAUCUUUCUG